rnacentral:misc_RNA from 1 species
GUUGUUGUUUUAUUUUUUUUUUUUAAAUGAAGCUAUGAUCUUAUUUAGGAUACUAAGAUGUUUAUAAGGAAAAAAGGGAGUCUUUGUUAUGUAUGAAUUUUUUAAAUUUGUUUUAUUGUUUCUGUUAUGCUCGUGUAACUGAACGUAUAAUGAAUUCUGGAUAUGCUGUAGUCAUUUGCUUUUGGUGAUUGAAUGUACUAAAAAUUGUAGGUUUGAGAUUCAGGAGAUUCCAACUCAUAAGGUUAAAUCUAUAUUUCUGUGUUGACGUACUCAAUUCUUAGUUCAUGCAUCGUAAGGAGAGGAAUUCGGUUAGCAGCUUUUUACAGUUACUAGACUAUAUAGUUUAGAACUGUGAUUUCAUGAGCUCAUGUGAUUUUGUUGGGAUAAUAGCUGGCCAAAAGGCUAAUAAUGCAAUUCUUGCUUUUAAUUGAAAAGUAGAAAGUCCUCAACAUUAGGGGUGCUUAAUAGAAUACGAUGAAACAUUGCAGAAUAUCCUUUUCAUACCAAGGACUUCACCUACAAUGAUUGUGAUUCAUGGUAGUUGAUGCAAGUUUAGUGAGGAAAAACAUGAUUUCUUAUCAGAUAAAAGUUUCCUUAUUUUAAUUUAGAUAUUUUUGAAUGUCUUUUUCCGUUUAUACAGUUGUGCGACCUUCUCAAAUCUAGAGUUGAAUGCCCUGACUUCCUUGAAAAGCUAGAGUGUGCUCACGUGUCGGUUCCACAAAAUAUUUCUGGUAUGAACCUGAAGAUGGCAACUGUUGUACUUCAUAUGCAGAUGUUUAUUUUUUACUUGUUACUUGAUAUAUUGUUUGCUGCUUGGGCUUUUCAUUCAUGUCUAGAAGUGAAACUUUAAAGAAUUUGUUGUUUGGACCUAGAAUGGACUGUUGCUAACAGAGUUAUUAUAUGGUA